CCUACGGGAGGCAGCAGUGGGGAAUAUUGCACAAUGGGGGAAACCCUGAUGCAGCGACGCCGCGUGAGUGAAGAAGUAAUUCGUUAUGUAAAGCUCUAUCAGCAGGGAAGAAAAUGACGGUACCUGAGUAAGAAGCCCCGGCUAACUAAGUGCCAGCAACCGCGGUAAGACGUAGGGGGCAAGCGUUAUCCGGAUUUAAUGGGUGUAAAGGGAGCGUAGACGGCAGUGCAAGUCUGGAGUGAAAGGCGGGGGCUCAACCCCCGGACUGCUCUGGAAACUGUACGGCUGGAGUGCAGGAGAGGUAAGUGGAAUUCCUAGUGUAGCGGUGAAAUGCGUAGAUAUUAGGAGGAACACCAGUGGCGAAGGCGGCUUACUGGACUGUAACUGACGUUGAGGCUCGAAAGCGUGGGGAGCAAACAGGAUUAGAUACCCCUGUAGUC
rnacentral:rRNA from 1 species